UACGUAGGGUGCGAGCGUUAAUCGGAAUUACUGGGCGUAAAGCGUGCGCAGGCGGUUUUGUAAGACCGAUGUGAAAUCCCCGGGCUCAACCUGGGAACUGCAUUGGUGACUGCAAGGCUGGAGUGCGGCAGAGGGGGAUGGAAUUCCGCGUGUAGCAGUGAAAUGCGUAGAUAUGCGGAGGAACACCGAUGGCGAAGGCAAUCCCCUGGGCCUGCACUGACGCUCAUGCACGAAAGCGUGGGGAGCAAACAGGAUUAGAUACCCUGGUAGUCCACGCCCUAAACGAUGUCAACUGGUUGUUGGGUCUUUGCUGACUCAGUAACGAAGCUAACGCGUGAAGUUGACCGCCUGGGGAGUACGGCCGCAAGGUUGAA
rnacentral:rRNA from 1 species